rnacentral:rRNA from 1 species
AUGCUCAGCAACUUUGACCAGCGUAUGGCGCUCUACCAGGGGGCGGGUGGCUUCAAGUCAUCCGCGAACGCCGCCUCACGUGGCCGCGGCGGUCGCCGCGGCGGUCCUCCACGAGGCAAGGCACGCUCUGGUGGUGGCGGCAACAACUCCAACCCUCGCACCGGACGAUCCCCCUCCACCAACCCCAAGGGACACGGCGGUGGUGGUGGCCGCGGCUCCAACAAAGCACGCCUCGAUGCACCGCGCUGCCAGAUCUGCGGCAAGCUCGGGCACAGUGCUCGGGACUGCUGGUACCGCUACGACGAUGACGAUGACUCCUCCCAGGACGAGGACAAGGUGGCGGCUGCUGCAGACGGCUCCUACAGUGUCGACACGAACUGGUAUGUCGACAGCGGGGCCACCAAACACAUCACCAGCGAGCUCGAGAAGGUGACCACGCGGGAGAAAUACCGCGGCAAGGACCAAAUCCACACUGCCAGUGGUGCAGGAUCAGGCAACGAAGAAAGUUCUUUAUCAAGGUAG